rnacentral:rRNA from 1 species
UACGAAGGGGGCUAGCGUUGCUCGGAAUGACUGGGCGUAAAGCGCACGUAGGCGGUUCGUUAAGUCGGAUGUGAAAGCCCUCGGCUCAACUGAGGAAGUGCACCCGAAACUGGCGAGCUUGAGUACGAAAGAGGAUCGCGGAAUUCCCGGUGUAGAGGUGAAAUUCGUAGAUAUCGGGAGGAACACCGGGUGGCGAAGGCGGCGAUCUGGGUCGAUACUGACGCGUGAGGUGCGAAAGCGUGGGGAGCAAACAGG